AUGCAUAACCCCAAGCUUGAGGAUGCUAGUUUUUCUAUGUCCACUGCUUAUUGCAAUGAUCAUGAUUGGGCUGAUGAAGCUUCUUAUGAUCUUGAAAAUUUAUUUAAUCCUCAUGAUGAAUAUGAUAUUGACAAUAAUGUUUGCAAUAAUAUUAAAAAUGGGUUUGGAAGAUUGUCAACUCUAGGUAAUAAUGAUCCCACUAAUUUGGAGAAUAAUCAAUCUUAUGAAAUUUUUGAUAAAAGUGGACUUGGAGAGAUCAUGACUUUAUUUGAUGAUAAUCCCACUAUUUUGGAACAGUGUCAACUUUGCAUGCAUUUGGAUCAUGUAAAGAAUAUGUUAUGUGGUGGCUAUAUUGUUGAAUUUGAAUAUGAUCCCACAUGUAAUUAUUAUGAGAGGUAA
rnacentral:rRNA from 1 species